GUCCCUCUCACCUCAGUUCAGAGGUGCCCCCUCCACAUCUCGGUUCCAGAGUCCCCGCUGCCUCGGUCAGGUCUCCGGUGCAGAUGCACCACAGUUUGGCAAGCUCUCCCUCUUCCCAGUCGUGCCUCCCCCAGUCCUGGAGUCAUUCCCGAAAGCACUCUCCCAUUAACUUCCUACCCACGAAUCUUUCUCUAUGAGUCUGUGCCCAGAAAACCCAACCUGAUACAGGAGGAUAUUCUUAACAGCCACAGCUGAUGGCACAGUGGGUUCAGGUGCCAGAUGGAACACAUCAAAGACCAGGUGGGAGAGGAAGAGGUGGAAUACAAUUCCGCUAAAUAAAAGGAAAGAAGCAGAGCAGCAGCUGGAGGACAAAGUUCUUCCACGUCCUCAUUUGUAAAGCAGGGUUAAUAAUGGUGCUCUGCCUCGACGAUAUUCUAUCCUUUUGCUAUGGAUCAGGAGGAUAACGUCGCUCUACCUCAUAGGGUAUGUUUUGAUUAAUCAUCGUCUUACCAAUAUAGAAAACUGGAGUACAGAAACAUUAUGACUUGUCCCAAACCGUAGACAUAUUAGCGAUUAAAACCAGGAUACAAACUCAGGCAGAUCCAACUCUAGAGUCUGCGCUGACCCGCCACUCUGCACCAUGGCUUCAGACAGGACUGACCCAAUGACGUGCUGGAGCUGACUCGCAAGAGCCCAUGAGCACAUCUCUUUCCAACCGUUGUUCUGUGAUGUCAUACAGGUAGCUUGAAAUGAGCCAUGGUGGAAGUCUUUACAUCACAGAAAUCAACCAAUAUUACGAAUCAGGAUUUUUUUUUUCUUUUACAGAAAGCUGUUUGUUAAACAUUUAUCAGAAUAUUAUUGGAUUUGCCUCAAAAGGAGGGACAUUGUCUCAACUGUAAUAGGAAGGAAUAAAGAAAAGAUGCAUCCAAGUUCACAAAAGAUGUGUAGAUACAGUGGUAGGACACCAAGGAGACUCCUGGUUUGUCUGCAAGGAAGAUGGCAAGGUACCCUUGACCGUUCAUAGUCUGACCGUAACUAUUAAACAGCCUACAAUUCUUGUUAAAGAGUGUGAGGUAGUUAUUCUCAACAAGUUCUUUUUUUUCUUUUUACAAGUACAGAAUUAAAGAACUCCUUCAAUUUAAUAUAAACUCUCUAAUCAAAUGGAUCCUAUUAGAUUUAAAAUUUUCAUACCCUAAAUGGCACAAUAUAAAUAGCCUUCCUCUGGAAUUUUACCAAGCCUUGUUUCAGUCCAGGGGCCCUGCAAGUUACUCUGUAUAAUAUUUUAACAUCAAUGACUCUGAGAAGUGUGUGUGUCUGUAUACUUUUGUUGCCCUGUAUUUCUUUCCUUUUAAUAAUUAGCCGUAAGAUCCUUAAAAUGAAGGAGGUGCUCUGCGUUUCACAGUGUGGUGAAAAAGGAAACAGAAGAGAGGGUGGGAUAUGGGGAGACCACGACUCCCUGACAAGCACAGGGUGAGGGAAGAGAAGCCGCAGGGCAGAUGGAAGAAAGAAUUCAGCAGAAGUUUAACCCCUGCGAUCGGACAUCAGAAAGAGUAAAGAGAUGCCACAGCUGACCGAGUAGUGGCCUGGGGGCUCGGCAGGCAGUGGCCAAAGAAUGGAGGCUUCUAAGGGCUGAGGUGGCAUGUCGUCAACGUAGGAAAUAAUUGUACUACUCACAUGGCUUGUCAGAGAGAGUAAAAAGAAAACGAAACUUUGCAAGUCUAUGAUGUCAUCUAUGAUCACUUUUGAAAAGAACUCAGUGUUUAAAGGUUGUAUUUUAGACACAUGAGGGUGAAAAAUAGUUUGUACUUACGUAUGCUGUUCCUACUAGCUUGAGGGAGCGAGCGGCAAUUCUCAGGAAAGGAGAAUCUUUAUGUAGUUCUUAAUCUUGGAACACUUUAUCAACGCUUUCUAUAACCUCGUAAGCUAAGAAGGGCUUAUUGGCUUAGCAUCAGCUUCAUAAUUAUAAUUCAGAGCAGAAUUUAGCACAGAGGGGAGAAAAAAUAAGCUUUGUCGUCAUAGGACUGAGUUAUUCCUAAGGUCUCCUCCACCUACAAGUGUAGCACAUAUCUGAGGGUUUAAAAUUCUUUUUUCCAGACAGUUCUUUUAGGAGAAGGAAAGACUGUGCUUUAAUGAUUAUAGUAGCUGUUUUUAUGGUUUGUUAAAUAACUAGUCAGAUUCACAAACAGGAUGCAUUCUGAAAAGGCAGCUUCCAUCCCCACAGUAUUACUGCUGCGUUUUAUAACUGUUCACAGUACCAAGUCUACAGACAUUUGCUGGUGAAACGACGUGGCAAAAGGCAGGGCACAAAUCUGGUGGAAAGAAAUGUCAAGUAUGUAAGUAAAAUUGAGAGAUGAGAGGGAGCUUAAAAGAAAACAAUCCUAACAGAACAACGGCACAAAUUUAACCAGACAACUGGCGGGUCAAGUCAAGAGCAUUGCUGAACAUUUCAUUCUGCUGCACCUCACAUUCACUUUCUAUGCAGCGCCUUUUCAACGUAGGGUAUUCACUCCUUCGGUGAGGAUUGACCAGGCCCUUUCCUUGGGCCAGUCACAAGUGUGCUGAGCUCUGUGGCUGCAGCACACAAAUGGGAGACACGGUCAGAUAAAGAGAGAACUUCAACACAAGUAGAAACACGGUGUUCCAUUCCAGUGCAAUUGAGCUCCCAUCACAGAUAGGGUGUGAAGUCAGCGAACCAGCCUGGGUGUGCCCCAUAAUCACCUCCACAAACGGGGAUAAUGACACACACUGGCCCAUCUCAUUCAGCUCAAAUGCGUAACUUCUAAGUCUUCAACCAGAGCGUUAGGAGUCAGUGUGCAGCUUGAUGCUUAAUGCUGUGACAACAUGGCCAAACUGCAUGGAGAAAAGGAGAAUUCCUUUGACCUGACGCACAGCUGCAGCCCAGAGGAGCACAGCUUUUCGCAUGGGCCUGCUCCUCCCUUCCUCCCCCGCCUCUCAGCCUUCUUCUCCCCUCACCCUGUGAACUCACCUGGUCUUGUUAGGGGUGGGUGGGACAAGCUUGCAUCCAUUGGCCUCUGCUCUAGAUUGCUUCCGGCUGAUUGCCUGCAUGCUGUGUCCGAUGUGAGUCCUCAGGAGGAGCUGUCUGCACAGCAUAAGGACUGAAUCCUCCAGCCGCUGAGGUUUGGCCUCAGAGAGUCUGUGGUGGACCGUUUUUUAGCUGACUUUAGUCAAUCAAUUGCUUCACCCAACUCACAGCCUGUUAAUUCUCCAGAAGUUCAAAACAAUGUGCUUUCCUCCAAUCUCACCCACUGUACCUACAAACCUCUAUUGUACCCACAAGCCUCUACUGCACCUGCCAGCCUCUUCCCUGAGGUCCCGCCUCCCUGUCCUGCCUCACUCUCCUCACCUUCUUGCACAUGCUUCCCCAGUUUCAUCCAUUCAUUCAGCUUCCCUUCUUAUCCUGACAUACCACAGGUGUUCCUGCAUCCCUAUGGUUGUUUAGGAAUGAAGCAUGACUCAGCACACCUUCAAGAUCCUUCCACGCCAAGCUGAAGCCACCUCACCUGAGAAGUCCACCCUGAUGAUCCCCAGACCUAUUACUCUCUUCCAGAGCUUACUGGUUAGGGAGAACAGGUUCCAUCUGGCUUCAAAUCCUGACUUGGCCUCUAUAUGACCUUAAGAAGAUUGCCAACCAGUUUGUCUCCAUUUGCUUAUCUGAAAAACAGAGAUGUUUUCA
ensembl:lncRNA